rnacentral:lncRNA from 1 species
ACUUCGCCGCUGCCUUUCGUCGGGGCCGCGAGCGGGGCGACGGCCGCCCAGCGCCCCUGGCACCCCUGAUCUCCAGCCGGGGCUCCCGGCCCGCGCCUUGGUGGCUGGAGGCCCAGGAUGAGCCUCGAUGGCGAGAGGCCCAGGAUGCGCCACCAGGCCGGGCUCACUUCUUUGACGCCGAAUAAACUGACAAAACAAUUAGCUGGCCGGCUGGGGAAGGUGGUGGGUGACUCAAAUGCCAGUCGGCUGCGUGCCCCCGCGCUUAGAUGAGUCUGGGAUUCUGGGCAGUUGGGACUUUCUUUUCAGGAAAGGAGGUGAGAGGUGCCGGGGAAGCCCACACGAGCAGCCACUCUUGGAGAAAUGGGGAAUGGCGCUGUAAAAGCGCAGGCCCUCCUCCUCCUCCUUUCUCCCCAUCACACAAAAAGGAUGGGCCUUGAAAGGGAUGAGUUUAUUAUGCACUUUUAAAUGCCUAUUCAGAAAAGAACAGGAGGCAAAAAUAAAGAUGCUUCCCACCCCACCAAUUCCCUUCCCUCGAAGAAAAAAGGAAAGAGAAAGCAACCCACAAAGGUCUUUCUUUCCAGACCUGUGGUCUCUCCCCACCUCCAGCCUCUUAUGGAGAGCAAAGGAAGGAAAUGGGAACAGGACUCAACAGCAACAUUCCAGGAAAAUGAAUAGAAUGUGGGAACGGUUCGAAAUGAUAAAUCCAGGUGAUAGAACGAGUUUCAAAGAGCAAGAGCCUGAUGGUAAUAGGGAAGCCAGGGGAACGGCAGAGGUUGUGCAGAAGACGACUCUGGCAAAAUAAGGACUGUGGAGAGAAAGUAAGUGGCUUUUAAGAUCUUAAACAUGGGGUCAAAAUUAUACCAUGAGAAGAAAGAAAAAGUCCCUGGGAGUGUUUGUAGACAGACCAAAGGACAGAACGUGAAGAAGGGCCUAUGAGAGAAUUGGUAUCCGGAAGAUUGUUUAUGUGCAACACUUCUGAGGAAUAAAGGGUGAUAAACUGUCUCGUGAGAAUGAACUACUGGAAGGACGGAGAGACACAAGGAAUGGCUGCAGUCAAGGUGAAAUGUAGGCCGUUGUGAGAGUUUCAUCCCAGGGCAUGAUGAGAAUGCCAGGGCCUGAUGCGUGUCAACGGUGCUUCAUCUGCUCAGAGAGUGUCCUAAAACCAGUCAGACCCUAGAUGUAGAAGUAUGCCACCCAAUGUCACCUAGCAGUUCAAUGCCAGGGAGAGAAAAUUCAGGCUUUCUUAUCCCCCUUCUAGUGCAAGCCCAUGGAAUAUGCCACUUUCCUAGUUAGGAUUUGGAAUUGGUCAUUGGGAAGGGCUCCGAAGAGAAACUCUGAGAAUUGUUGAUUUCCAUUUCAAAUCCCCCUAAUGCAUAAAAUAAGAAUGUGUUCUGCGGUGUUCCUCAGCUUAUUAACUUUUAUAAAAGAAAGGAAUGAUCUUUGUUGUUACUUGAAAACAGCCACAUUUGGAAAGGUCUACGCUACCCAAAUGUAAUAAAAAUAAAUUUUAGUUCAAUUGGUCAGUCUUGAAAGCUAAUUGAACAGUCAUGCUUUGUUCUAAUUAUUCCUGGCUACCAUUAAAGUGAUGG